UACGAAGGGGGCUAGCGUUGCUCGGAAUUACUGGGCGUAAAGGGCGCGUAGGCGGACAGUUUAGUCAGAGGUAAAAGCCCAGGGCUCAACCUUGGAACUGCCUUUGAUACUGGCUGUCUUGAGUUCGGGAGAGGUGAGUGGAAUGCCGAGUGUAGAGGUGAAAUUCGUAGAUAUUCGGCGGAACACCAGUGGCGAAGGCGACUCACUGGCCCGAUACUGACGCUGAG
rnacentral:rRNA from 1 species